rnacentral:misc_RNA from 1 species
GAAAUGCGAUAAGUAAUGUGAAUUGCAGAGUUUUGUGAAUCAUCGAAUCUUUGAACGCACAUUGCGCCCUCUGGCAUUCCGGGGGGCAUGCCUGUCCGAGCGUCAUUACGCACCCUCAAGCCCGGCUUGUGUGAUGGGCCCCGGCGUCUCGUUCGCGAGACGGGCCCGAAAGGCAGCGGCGGCGUCGACCCGAUGAGCCCGAGCGUAUGGGGACUUCUGUCACACGUUCGCGGUGCGGACCGGCGCCUGCUUGACUUUUCUGAUUAUCCAGGUUGACCUCGGAUCAGGUAGGGAUACCCGCUGAACUUAAGC